GCCUGGCUGGCUCAGUGGGUGGAGCGUGUGACUCUUGAUCUCAGGGUUGUGGGUUUGAGCCCCACACUGGGCA
rnacentral:tRNA from 1 species